UAUAAUUUUUGACUAUUCAUCUUAUUCAAUUUUUUUGCGAUUGAUAUUUUUGUUUUUAUUAGAUGAUAAAUCAUGAAUAAUCUUUACGUGUGACUAAUUUUCUUCUAAUUUCUUGAAAAUUUUUCAAAUAAGACGGACGGUCAAACGUUGGACAAAGAAACCGAAG
rnacentral:pre_miRNA from 1 species